UGAGAACUCGGCGGAUGGACCGUUACUUGGCGGGAACGACCGAGAGUGUGGCACAGCGCUGAGCAGACCCAACAAUUCCAAGUCAGAAGCGAGAGUGAAGAAACACAGAGGACAGACAGCCAGAAGUGCUCACACAGGACACUGGCUCCUAAAGAGGGAAGAUGUUUCUCAACAACUACAAGGAGGCGCAGUAUGCUGCCACCUGGGUAAAAGGGGCAGGUCACUGGAUGGACCCUUCCCGGGUCCUUGUCAGCACCUCAGAACACUGGUGUCGUUUGCCGGGGCCCUUGCUGCGGAGGUUUCUCAUAGUUACCCACCGUGCCGACUCCUCCCUGCUCUCUGCCUCAGGUGGCGCUGUCCUGGGAGACUGGAACGUUGGAGAUCAAGAGUCCUGCUAGCAGACAUAAGCUCCGAGGGGUCCUGCUUACAGCCACAAACUGAGUCGCUUAAGCUGGCAAAGCCUUCCCAAACCUUGAGAGACCGAAAUUUACCGGCAACCAUGAGCCCAAAUCAACUGUUCCUCCCUCUGCAAUUUCCAGCGGCUGCUGUCACAGGAGUGAGAAAAGCGUCACAAUCCUCGAUCUUAGUGCCUGUGCCUCAGUUUGUAUUAAAAGUUUUUCUAAUCCCAGCGCCCAGGGAGGCCAAAGCGGGUGAAUCUCUGAGUGUUUGAAGCCAACCUUGUCUACAAAGUGAGU